GAGCUGGUGAAUUGGGCUCGGAAGAAUGGACAUUUGUCAGAAGUUGUGCUGAUAUUCAGCGUUGACGAAUGGCGGGAUAUUGGGGACCACAUGUGGGACUCAGUCAUCAGUGGUGGAAAGGAAGAAAAGUUGUUGCGGACCCUUGGCCCCUUGUGGAGGUCUAUUAUUAAUACUUUAAAAACUAUGCAAGCUGAGCGACAGGUAGCUGCUGCAGCUAUACAGGCACUGGCCGGUACAACAACUAAUUUGGCUUCAGAGUUUGACGUGCCUGUUCAGGGUAUCACACACCCUCUGUGUUCCUCAGCAGGUCAGGUAAAAGCAUCGGUAGAGGCAGCAGCCCCUGAUCUCUCGAAUGACAUUGCUACUGAGUCGUCUGCAGUAUUGCAGCAAGGAAAAGGGGCUAUACCUGACAUCACCCCUGAUGUACACUGCAAGGAGCAGUCUCCUGCAGAAUCAGAGAGCGACGAUGGGGGUGAGGGGUUGGAAAAACUGGAUUGCAAGGUUAAAAUAUUAAAAGAGCGAUUACGUAGCCUGGAAAUCUGUAUACAGCAAAAAAGAGAUACAGGGUCUGACCGAAGUUCUCAACCAGUGCCUUCUACGGGUCCUGUCCUACCGAUAGCGCCUGUUGCUCUACCGACUCACCCAGCAGCAGCUGCUCCCUCACGGUGGUCGGGGGUAAUCCGUGAUGCUAUAUUGGAGGGGCAAUGGGAAACAGUUUCUCAAAUUGCAUGCCCAGUGUUAUAUAAUCAGCAGGGUGCGCAACGGGAAUCCCAUGAUUGGAAAUUGUUACAACAAGCGCAGAAAAUGGUUACGGAGUACGGCCUUAAAGACGAGGCAUCUAAACAAAUUAUUCAAUGGAUUUUAACUGCUGAUGUGAAUAUACCAAACAAUAUAAGAAAUUUGGGUAGAUUGUCAUCAACACCAUCAGAAAAUUUGUUGUUUCUCCAAGAGUGGUCCAAUAGAGCACACCGUGAGGCUGCAACAGCUCAGCAGCCUGCCGAUUCACUGUACGGCAUUACAGCAGAAAUGCUGACAGGGAUAAGUCCCUAUGCCUCCUCUGACACACAGGUUUCUUUUCCAGCAGCUUUUCAUCGCUUGUUGACUAGACUGGCAUUGGAGGCAAUUUUUGCCAUUCCUUCUGGGAAAAAGGAAUCGACUUUUGCCACUGUGCACCAGGGGGUUACAGAACCGUUUGCUCGUUAUGUGGAUCGAAUGUGGGUAGCAGUUCAGGAUAGUGAUUUGCCUGAAGAAACUAAACAGCAGCUAUUUCGGGUUAUGGUGCAUGAUAAUGCCAAUAACCAUACUAAAGGUAUACUAGCUACGCUCCCACAAGGGGCCACAGUCGAAAGCAUGUUGCAACGCGUAGCCCGAGUUGAGCAAAGUCAACAGGUUUCACAAAUUGCCACCGCUGUGCAAGUGGCUAUGACUACACCGUCACCAAGAAGGGGCAGGAAUGAGAAGUUUACAUGCUAUCGUUGUGGUCUCAGUGGUCAUAUGCAGCACAGUUGCACUAAAAAGGUAUGGUGUGAUCAUUGUCAACAGCCCACUCAUUCUGCCCAGGUUUGCCGCAAGGCAGGAAAUGGCCAGCAGAGCGCGAAAGUUCGGCGUGCCCUGAUACAAGUACCGAGCAGCAACUCGGAGGCUGCCUUGAUCAAUAUGUCCCUGGCACCCGAGGUAGUCUCAGAGUGGACAUGGCAAUCGCAGUAGAUGCCUAUUUACAUGAUACUGUGGUUCACAGGGUGAAAUUAGAUUCCCACGGACCAUUGUCUCAACAUCAGCCUUUGCACGCUUUGCUGAUGGGUAAAUCUUCAUUGGGCCUAUCCAGUGUGAUGUUAAUUCCGGGGCUGAUAGAUUCCGAUUAUGUGAGACCUAUAUAUGCCUUAUUAUAUACUAUCACUCCUCCUGUAUUUAUUCCAGCUGGAUCAAGAAUCGCACAGUUAAUUCCCAUACCGGCCCAAACUCCUGCAAUGGACGGUCCUACUAGGAUAGGGAGUUUUGGGUCGCCUGGCCCUCUAGCCUGUCUAACAACUUAUUUAGGGAAACAGCCAA
ensembl:lncRNA